rnacentral:rRNA from 1 species
ACUCAAAUGAAUUGACGGGGGCCCGCACAAGCAGUGGAGCAUGUGGUUUAAUUCGAUGCUACGCGAAGAACCUUACCCAGGCUCGAAAUGUAGCUCGCGAUGCCAGAAAUGGCAUUUUCCGUAAGGAGAGCUACAUAGGUGCUGCAUGGCUGUCGUCAGCUCGUGCCGUGAGGUGUUGGGUUAAGUCCCGCAACGAGCGCAACCCUUAUCAUUAGUUGCCAACAUUUAAGGUGGGGACUCUAAUGAGACUGCCUAGGUUAACUAGGAGGAAGGUGAGGAUGAUGUCAAGUCCGCAUGGCCUUUAUGUCUGGGGCUACACACGUGCUACAAUGGUCGGUACAGAAGGAUGCAAGAUCGUAAGAUGGAGCAAAUCCGUAAAGCCGAUCUCAGUUCAGAUUGUGGUCUGCAACUCGACCACAUGAAGUUGGAAUUGCUAGUAAUGACGUGUCAGCAACAGCGUCGUGAAUACGUUCCCGGGCCUUGUACACACCGCCCGU